UACGGAGGGUGCGAGCGUUAAUCGGAAUUACUGGGCGUAAAGCGAGUGUAGGCGGUUGCAUAAGUCGGAUGUGAAAGCCCCGGGCUUAACCUGGGAAUGGCAUUCGAUACUGUGCGGCUAGAGUCUGAUAGAGGGAAGUGGAAUUCCAGGAGUAGCGGUGAAAUGCGUAGAUAUCUGGAAGAACACCAGUGGCGAAGGCGGCUUCCUGGAUCAAGACUGACGCUGAGGCUCGAAAGCGUGGGGAGCAAACAGG
rnacentral:rRNA from 1 species